CAAUAGCGUAUAUUAAAGUUGUUGCAGUUAAAAAGCUCGUAGUUGAACUUCUGGCGGUGUGCAGGUUUGGCUACGGUCAGCCUGCACGGCGUCAUCCGUCUGCAAACCGUGUACAUCCUUUGGUGGUUUGGCGCGGGGAGUAGACAUUUUACUUUGAAAAAAUUAGAGUGUUUCAAGCAGGUUAUUGCCAGAAUACUUUAGCAUGGAAUAAUGGAAUAGGACUCUUGUCCAUUUGGUUGGUUAUUGGACCGGAGUAAUGAUUAAUAGGGACAGUUGGGGGCAUUAGUAUUUAAUUGUCAGAGGUGAAAUUCAUGGAUUUAUUAAAGACUAACUUAUGCGAAAGCAUUUGCCAAGGAUGUUUUCAUUAA
rnacentral:rRNA from 1 species